rnacentral:lncRNA from 1 species
GCCAAAUGUUCAGUACCUUGCAGUAGCAGAGGUGGGUGAGGGGUUCCCAGGACAUCUAUGAGGGCCACGCGGGGACGGGGUCGGACAAGCGGUGCUCUAGGGAGCUGGCACCAACGUCCCUGCUCCCUUGGGGCAGUGACGACGCCGUGCCAGUGGCCGCAGAGAACACACAAAGGAAGCCCCGACCCAUCUUCUGGACCUGGAGACAUCACAAGGAGGGGACUGGUGCGGACCCCGAGUCAGAGCAUUCCUCGGUCCCCCGCGGGGAACAAUAGGCGCAGCAGGCCGGGGUGGCUGGGCGGUUUGGCCCGCGCGCCGCACAAAGCCCGCUUGGACCGCGCUGCACGUGACGUGCGCGCGCGCGCGGGCUGGGGGGUGGAGGUCCUGAAUCCACCUGGAACACUUUCAGGAAGACAAACGCGGUUCCUCCUAUUUCUGAGCAAGUCUGGGCCAGCUGGGAGCCGACCAGAAACCGCAAGCUGGGGAGACGCAGGCGCGCGGGCUGAGCGCUAACGGAGGGCGAGACCCAUCGCGCGCCCGCCCACCGGGGAGCGGUGCAGACGGGGCAGCGGGAUCUGCACUCCGGGGACCCGAGCUACCGCCCGCCAGCCCCGCCCUCGAGCUACUCCGGGCGCCUGGCGACUUAUUCGCACCCCCCCCCCACACACACACCCUGCAUUCCCCCAGCUCCUCUCCACCCACUGCUUGCCCCAGCGACAGAAGCCCUUACAAGCUGCUUUCUCCCAAGAAAGGGACGAAACCAUCUCUGAAGGCAGUACAAGAAAAAUCCCAAAGGGUCAGAAGGUUUUUUGCAGACUCUUGUUUAAAAGUUUCUGUUUGCUUGUAGGAGUACUUGAGUGGGAGGAAGUAGGGUAACAAGACCAUUGUUGAACUUGGGAUAAACUUGAAUGCCAUUUAAAAUAACAAUUAAAACACAACACCAGAUACAAUGAAAGGUCUCCUUUUUCUACACUAAGGUAGACUCUUGAGUAUUUUUAGUUCAGUUCUCU